rnacentral:rRNA from 1 species
UACGAAGGGGGCUAGCGUUGUUCGGAAUUACUGGGCGUAAAGGGCGCGUAGGCGGUACUUCAAGUCAGGCGUGAAAGCCCCGGGCUCGACCUGGGAACCGCGCUUGAGACUGGAGAACUAGAGUUCGGGAGAGGAUGGUGGAAUUCCCAGUGUAGAGGUGAAAUUCGUAGAUAUUGGGAAGAACACCGAUGGCGAAGGCAGCCAUCUGGACCGACACUGACACUGAGACGCGAAAGCGUGGGUAGCAAACAGG